CAAUAGCGUAUAUUAAAGUUGUUGCGGUUAAAAAGCUCGUAGUUGGAGUUCUGCCAGGUGACGCUCGUCCGCCCAAGUGGUGUGUACAGGGCGUGCAUCUGGCCCUUUCAAGGGGAACGUGUCUGCACUUUACUGUGUGGUGCGAGAUCCUUGACUUUUACUUUGAGGAAAUCAGAGUGUUCCAAGCAGGCUCUCGUCGUGUAUAGCUCAGCAUGGAAUAAUAGCAUUGGACUUCGUUUCUAAGCUGUUGGUUGCAAGAAGCGAGGUAAUGAUGAAGAGGGAUAGUUGGGGGCAUUCGUAUUUAACUGUCAGAGGUGAAAUUCUUGGAUUUGUUAAAGACUGACUACUGCGAAAGCAUCUGCCAUGGAUGUUUUCAUUGA
rnacentral:rRNA from 1 species